GCUAGCUGGAGUAUCCUCUUACUGCUUACCUUCAGCGGCCACGCAGAUGUACUUCUCAUCGUCCCGUUAAGUUUUCCAGGAAGUCCCAGCUUAGCACAGGACCCCGACCCGGACCACCACCGACAAAGUAAUUCUCCACCACUUACAACAACAACGUCAAGCAACGGUUUGGGCCCGCCCACGUGAGCGGAGGAGCCAAUCACGACGUCCUGCUGCUUUAAUGGUGCAGACGCUAACCAAUGAGCACGCCCAGAAGCUGACUGAUUUUCCCCAGUAGAGUAAACACCAAAUGAGAACAGAGGCUGCUGGAAGAGAAGGGGACCAGAGGGGUUAGUCCCAGUACCCUAUAGGCGGCGUGGAGUUGACAAAAAGCAAUGAAUGAGAUCAUCCCGAAUGAUGUAAACGUUUCGUCACAGAGGUCGA